GAGUUUGAUCCUGGCUCAGAACGAACGCUGGCGGCGUGCCUAACACAUGCAAGUCGAACGUGAUCCAGAGCUUGCUCUGGUGAAAGUGGCGCACGGGUGAGUAACGCGUGGAUAACCUACCCUGGUAUCCGGGAUAACAUUCCGAAAGGGGUGCUAAUACCGGAUAAGCCCACGGGCUCUUUGGAGCUUGCGGGAAAAGGUGGCCUCUAUUUAUAAGCUACUGUAUCAGGAUGGGUCCGCGUACCAUUAGCUAGUUGGCGGUGUAACGGACCACCAAGGCGACGAUGGUUAGCUGGUCUGAGAGGAUGAUCAGCCACACUGGAACUGAGACACAGUCCAGACUCCUACGGGAGGCAGCAGUGGGGAAUUUUGCGCAAUGGGGGAAACCCUGACGCAGCAACGCCGCGUGAGUGAUGAAGGCCUUUGGGUCGUAAAGCUCUGUCAGAGGGGAAGAAAUGAUAUAGUGCUAAUACCACUUUAUCUUGACGGUACCCUCACAGGAAGCACCGGCUAACUCCGUGCCAGCAGCCGCGGUAAUAC
rnacentral:rRNA from 1 species